rnacentral:rRNA from 1 species
UUCGAGCGUCAUUACACCACUCAAGCUAUGCUUGGUAUUGGGUGCCGUCCUUAGUUGGGCGCGCCUUAAAGACCUCGGCGAGGCCUCACCGGCUUUAGGCGUAGUAGAAUUUAUUCGAACGUCUGUCAAAGGAGAGGACUUCUGCCGACUGAAACCUUUUAUUUUUCUAGGUUGACCUCGGAUCAGGUAGGGAUACCCGCUGAACUUAAGCAUAUCAAUAAGCGGAGGAAAAGAAACCAACAGGGAUUGCCCUAGUAACGGCGAGUGAAGCGGCAACAGCUCAAAUUUGAAAGCUGGCCUUCGGGUCCGCAUUGUAAUUUGUAGAGGAUGCUUUGGGUGAAACGCCAGUCUAAGUUCCUUGGAACAGGACGUCAUAGAGGGUGAGAAUCCCGUAUGUGACUGGAAAUGUUAACCUAUGUAAAGCUCCUUCGACGAGUCGAGUUGUUUGGGAAUGCAGCUCUAAAUGGGAGGUAAAUUUCUUCUAAAGCUAAAUAUUGGCGAGAGACCGAUAGCGCACAAGUAGAGUGAUCGAAAGAUGAAAAGCACUUUGGAAAGAGAGUUAAAAAGCACGUGAAAUUGUUGAAAGGGAAGCGCUUGCAAUCAGACUUGUUUAAACUGUUCGGCCGGUCUUCUGACCGGUUUACUCAGUUUGGACAGGCCAGCAUCAGUUUCGGCGGCCGGAUAAAGGCUCUGGGAAUGUGGCCUUCACUUCGGUGAAGGUGUUAUAGCCCAGGGUGUAAUACGGCCAGCCGGGACUGAGGUCCGCGCUCG